AACGAACGCUGGCGGCAUGCCUAACACAUGCAAGUCGAACGAAGCCUUCGGGCUUAGUGGCGCACGGGUGCGUAACGCGUGGGAAUCUGCCCUUUGGUUCGGAAUAACAGUUGGAAACGACUGCUAAUACCGGAUGAUGACGAAAGUCCAAAGAUUUAUCGCCAGAGGAUGAGCCCGCGUAGGAUUAGCUAGUUGGUGUGGUAAAGGCGCACCAAGGCGACGAUCCUUAGCUGGUCUGAGAGGAUGAUCAGCCACACUGGGACUGAGACACGGCCCAGAAUCCUACGGGAGGCAGCAGUGGGGAAUAUUGGACAAUGGGGGCAACCCUGAUCCAGCCAUGCCGCGUGAGUGAUGAAGGCCUUAGGGGUGUAAAGCUCUUUCACCGGGGAAGAUAAUGACGGUACCCGGAGAAGAAUCCCCGGCUAACUUCGUGCCAGCCGCCGCCGUAA
rnacentral:rRNA from 1 species